UUUUUAAUGUCUAAUCACUUGGUACUGUUGAUGCUGCUUUGUGAUUUCCUUUUUAUUUGCUUCUAUUUAUCUGUGUUUUAAUGAUGGAAGAACUUAUCAAGCAAAUCCAGAAAAUGGGUUUGAAGAAAUUUUUCUUUGGCAUUAUGGCAGAAUGAUCAUUAGUCUGGCAAAUUUGUGAAGUUGUCAUAUUGAGGAUCUAUUGGCCAUGCUAGUUUCUUGAUCUUGUGGUAG
rnacentral:misc_RNA from 1 species